rnacentral:rRNA from 1 species
UACAGAGGUGGCAAGCGUUGUUCGGAAUUACUGGGCGUAAAGGGCGCGUAGGCGGUCUUUUAAGUCUUGUGUGAAAUCCCUCGGCUCAACUGAGGAACUGCACGGGAUACUGGAAGACUUGAGUUCGGGAGAGGGAAGCGGAAUUCCGGGUGUAGCGGUGAAAUGCGUAGAUAUCCGGAGGAACACCGGUGGCGAAGGCGGCUUCCUGGACCGAUUACUGACGAUGAGGCGCGAAAGCUAGGGGAGCAAACGGG